AGGUUAGCCCUAGCUGUCUGGCCCUAGCUGCACAAAUUAAUUGGGAUUCCUCAGAGGUGUGUCGUUCUGAUCACGGUCCAGAGGCAGGAUACUGGACUAGAUGGACCAUAGGUGUGAGCCAGGGCCACAAUUUCCAGGAGUGAGGGGUCUGAACAAGUCGUGCCUGCACGGAUUCCUAUGCAGCACAAAGCAUUUGCUGUAUGUUGCAUCGUCAGAAGAGGAGUCUCAGGGAUUCCCACACUUGGACUUUACUGAAUCAGGCUGCAUCUGA
rnacentral:lncRNA from 1 species